rnacentral:lncRNA from 1 species
UCUAAGUUUGGGGUGGGACAUCGGUAAGAACUAGAUAAGUGCGGAUGAAAUGAAAAAAUAUAGUUGUGAAACUUCAAGAAAAAAAAUGGAAAAAAAAUUUAGAAGUAAAAUAAAGCACUUAUCUAGAGGAGAUUUAGUUUGGCAAAAAUCUUGCUCAAAGGAGCGCAUGAAAAAAAGAGAGCUAAUGAGUCCUAACAAGAACGGUGUCCAAAAAAUUCUUAGUUGAGAGAUUGAACAUAAUGAUAAGGAUGACAACACAAACUUUG